rnacentral:rRNA from 1 species
UACGUAGGGGGCGAGCGUUGUCCGGAUUUAUUGGGCGUAAAGAGCUCGUAGGCGGCUGUUCGAGUCGGGUGUGAAACCCCAGGGCUUAACUCUGGGCCUGCAUUCGAUACUGGGCGGCUUGAGUCUGGUAGGGGGAUCUGGAAUUCCUGGUGUAGCGGUGGAAUGCGCAGAUAUCAGGAGGAACACCGAUGGCGAAGGCAGGUCUCUGGGCCGAUACUGACGCUGAGGAGCGAAAGCGUGGGGAGCGAACAGG